rnacentral:rRNA from 1 species
AGAGUUUGAUCCGGGCUCAGAUUGAACGCUGGCGGCAGGCUUAACACAUGCAAGUCGAGCGGCAGCGGAAAGAAGCUUGCUUCUUUGCCGGCGAGCGGCGGACGGGUGAGUAAUGUCUGGGGAUCUGCCCGAUGGAGGGGGAUAACUACUGGAAACGGUAGCUAAUACCGCAUAAUGUCGCAAGACCAAAGUGGGGGACCUUCGGGCCUCACACCAUCGGAUGAACCCAGAUGGGAUUAGCUAGUAGGUGGGGUAAUGGCUCACCUAGGCGACGAUCCCUAGCUGGUCUGAGAGGAUGACCAGCCACACUGGAACUGAGACACGGUCCAGACUCCUACGGGAGGCAGCAGUGGGGAAUAUUGCACAAUAGGGGAAACCCUGAUGCAGCCAUGCCGCGUGUGUGAAGAAGGCCUUCGGGUUGUAAAGCACUUUCAGCGGGGAGGAAGGCAAUGGCGUUAAUAGUGUCAUUGAUUGACGUUACCCGCAGAAGAAGCACCGGCUAACUCCGUGCCAGCAGCCGCGGUAAUACGGAGGGUGCGAGCGUUAAUCGGAAUUACUGGGCGUAAAGCGUACGCAGGCGGUCUGUUAAGUCAGAUGUGAAAUCCCCGGGCUUAACCUGGGAACUGCAUUUGAAACUGGCAGGCUAGAGUCUCGUAGAGGGGGGUAGAAUUCCAGGUGUAGCGGUGAAAUGCGUAGAGAUCUGGAGGAAUACCGGUGGCGAAGGCGGCCCCCUGGACGAAGACUGACGCUCAGGUACGAAAGCGUGGGGAGCAAACAGGAUUAGAUACCCUGGUAGUCCACGCUGUAAACGAUGUCGAUUUGAAGGUUGUGGUCUUGAGCCGUGGCUUUCGGAGCUAACGCGUUAAAUCGACCGCCUGGGGAGUACGGCCGCAAGGUUAAAACUCAAAUGAAUUGACGGGGGCCCGCACAAGCGGUGGAGCAUGUGGUUUAAUUCGAUGCACGCGAG